UACGGAGGGAGCUAGCGUUGUUCGGAAUUACUGGGCGUAAAGCGCGCGUAGGCGGCUUUGUAAGUUAGAGGUGAAAGCCCGGAGCUCAACUCCGGAACUGCCUUUAAAACUGCAUCGCUUGAAUCCAGGAGAGGUGAGUGGAAUUCCGAGUGUAGAGGUGAAAUGCGUAGAUAUCGAGAGGAACACCAGUGGCGAAGGCGAGUCCCUGGACAACACCUGACACUGAGGCACGAAAGCUAGGGGAGCAAACAGG
rnacentral:rRNA from 1 species